rnacentral:rRNA from 1 species
UGGGGAAUCUUGGACAAUGGGGGCAACCCUGAUCCAGCCAUGCCGCGUGAGUGAUGAAGGCCUUAGGGUCGUAAAGCUCUUUCGCCUGUGAAGAUAAUGACGGUAGCAGGUAAAGAAACCCCGGCUAACUCCGUGCCAGCAGCCGCGGUAAUACGGAGGGGGUUAGCGUUGUUCGGAAUUACUGGGCGUAAAGCGCACGUAGGCGGACCAGAAAGUUGGGGGUGAAAUCCCGGGGGCUCAACCCCGGAACUGCCUCCAAAACUAUUGGUCUAGAGUUCGAGAGAGGUGAGUGGAAUUCCAAGUGUAGAGGUGAAAUUCGUAGAUAUUUGGAGGAACACCAGUGGCGAAGGCGGCUCACUGGCUCGAUACUGACGCUGAGGUGCGAAAGUGUGGGGAGCAAACAGGAUUAGAUACCCUGGUAGUCCACACCGUAAAACGAUGAAUGCCAGUCGUCGGGUAGCAUGCUAUUCGGUGACACACCUAACGGAUUAAGCAUUCCGCCUGGGGAGUACGGUCGCAAGAUUAAAACUCAAAAGGAAUU